rnacentral:rRNA from 1 species
AGAGUUUGAUCCUGGCUCAGAACGAACACUGGCGGCGUGCUUAAUACAUGCAAGUCGAACGGGAAAGCGUCAUUCGUGGCGUGAGUACAGUGGCGAACGGGUGAGAAACGCGUAAACAAUCUGCCUUUCAGUUGGGGAUAACACUGCCAACGCGGUGCUAAUACCGAAUAAUAUUCCGGAUCCGCAUGGGUCUUGGAUAAAAAAUGGUUUCAUUGCUGAAAGAUGAGUUUGCGUCUGAUUAGCUAGUUGGUGAGGUAACGGCUCACCAAGGCUACGAUCAGUAGCCGGCCUGAGAGGGUGUACGGCCACAUUGGGACUGAGAUACGGCCCAGACUCCUACGGGAGGCAGCAGUAGGGAAUUUUGCGCAAUGGACGAAAGUCUGACGCAGCAACGCCGUGUGAGUGAUGAAGGUCUUCGGAUCGUAAAGCUCUGUCAGGAGGGAAGAAACUAUACCAUUAAUACCGGUAUACUGACGGUACCUCCAGAGGAAGCUCCGGCUAACUUCGUGCCAGCAGCCGCGGUAAUACGAGGGGAGCUAGUGUUGUUCGGAUUUACUGGGCGUAAAGGGAGUGUAGGCGGGCAUCUAAGUCAGAGGUGAAAUUUCGGGGCUCAACCCUGAACUUGCCUUCGAUACUGGGUGUCUUGAGUAUGGAAGAGGUCGAUGGAAUUCCUGGUGUAGCGGUGGAAUGCGUAGAUAUCAGGAGGAACGCCAAUAGCGAAAGCAGUC